AAGGCAAGAUUGUCCAGAAAUCAUCACAGGAGGGUACACAAAAAUAGUAAAAUCUCAUUUCGGAACAAGAAUGGAAUCAAAAUUCCAACUGAACUACACCAGAAUCGUUCAUCUUCAGAGAUAUUUUUUGAGGGUCAGAUGACACUUGAUUGGGGCGAACGACUAUUGUUUCGAAGCUUGAGAUAUGUACUAUCUAAGCCUAAGAGGACUGGAGUUAAAACAAAGUCGUUUCGGACCUCGUUUUGGCCAAAACAGUAGAUCAGUCUUAUUACUACAAAAUUGCAGAUUCAAGCUAAAUCAACUACAAUCAUUCAAGAAUAUUCAUCCACAUUCAAGCUUCAACAACUCAUCAAAGAUCACAUGAGCAUAGUAUAUAUCCCUAAGAUUAAACCCUCGCCCCGGCCGGCUAAUCCAACCUCGCUUCACAAGGUUCGAGACCUUGAAGUUACCUUUUAACUUGAACUCGAACGUGACCGAUUGCGAUUGAACAGUUGCCAAUCAAUGAUCGUCGAAGCUUCGUCGAACCUCAUGGAUCGUGAAGGAUUAGUGUCGAUCUACAAGAAGUAUGCAAAAGCAAUCAAAGUAGAAUCCGUGUUAACCAAAACCUAAGGAAAAAAGUGAUCCACUUAGCUUUUUUUCUGAGCUUAAUCUUCUGUUUUGCUGAACACUCAUGAAGAUGAGACCGAAGUUUUCUAAAUCUCAAAUCGACUGGAUUUCAUUCAUCAUUAAUCUUUGAUCUUUGAUUUACGAGACUCAUCAAUGGAUGCUUUGGCUUUAAACUUGAUGAUUGCAACUGCUUCACAAGAGUUGCAAUCUCAGAGCGUUUCUUCAGAUUCUCUUAGCCGAAUCUUGCUGCUGCACUUUUUCUAGAAAUCAAGACGCCAACAACUCUAAGCUUCUGAUGGCCGAACAACGAGAGGAAAAUCUUUGCAAGAGCUUGCUUGAUCAGAUAGGCCUCACGAACUCGCCAAAUGCUCGGAAUGGCGAUCCGAUCGCCAAUCUACGAGCUGGAUUGAACGCCGGUCAGAUCGCUGAUCCAGCUUCGGAGAUGUCCACCAUUCAACGACUAUGGGGCUGUUAAUCAGCAAAAAUACACUGAACUCCGUGGAGAACCUGAAUCUAAUAACAUUCUAUAACUAAAACAGAGAGAAGAAGUGGAAAACUUAUCUCCGAUUUUGUUAUUGGAACUUCUAGAAAUGGAGAAUGCCGAGCUUCAAUCAAUGAAGAUGAUCUCGAGAAACAAGACUUCAAAUCACAGAUCAGUGGAGAGACGGAUUACAAGUCUUGAUCGGAAUCGAAGCUCGAUCCGGGAAGAAAUUGAAGUUUAUGAUUCUUUCUUUGGUGUUGCAAAUACAAGAUCGUUUCCUCAACUUCUUUUAGCCAAAUCUAGAAUUUCAGCUUGCUCCGGUCUUAGCUAUGAACAAUCUCCUUGGAUUGUAAGGUGAAGCUCAUGAAGAGCUCGAUCAUUCCCUUCGAUAAAAGACAAAAUCUGUUGCCUCGAUUGUAUUCUCCGCCAUGGACAGAAUGAGUGGAGUAAAUCCACGGAGAGAAAAUAAGUGGAGAGUUUUUUUCUCCAACUUCCAUAAGUCCAAAACAGAAAAAUCCUUCAAGAGAGAGAAGAAGUGGAGAAUUCAUCCAAGAGAGAGAUUAAGUUAGUGGAGAUUUUCUUUUGCCCGAACUCCAGCGAAGAGUUGCCUCCCUUUUUCCCAUUCUUC
rnacentral:lncRNA from 1 species